rnacentral:misc_RNA from 1 species
CAAAUUCCUUUUCAACAUUUGUUGUAUAAUAUGUGCCAGAACAUAUGCAUCCAUUUUUCAGGUGGACUUCAACAGGAUGCCCAAUAAGACACGUUAACAAAUAUACAAGUCGAUCACGAGAGGGACUCUCAUAAACUCCAACUUUUGCACCAACCACUGCACUUGAUCUAUUCGAAUUUGAUUUUCCAGAUUGCAGCUUAUUGUCCAAUCUUGCCCCCCCUUCUCUUUCAGCUCUUCUACGACCAACUCCAUUGGCGUAAAAUUUGGGCUGUGAACCCUGUUGUAAACUCAUCUCAACAGCAGCAGCACCCUUUAACAUAUACACAUCAAAGUAAAGUCUGUUGCAGUACAAGUAUAUGCAAUGCCUCUAUCGCUCAAACCAUCAACAACUGAGUAAGCAAGAAGAAACUUACAGAACCUUAAAUAUGGCUAACUAAUCUGUAAUUUGGUAUAAACCGCCUACGGCUUGAGAACAGAGGGAGAGGGAUUAGGGUCGGUACGUUAGGGUUAGGGGUAGAGGUUUUCGUUUUAGGGCUGGAAAGCGAGAAGGAUCAAGAGCAAGAAUCACGAGGAAAGAAAGAAAGAGAGGGAGGAAGAAUGAGGAUUCGAUGUGAUCGAGAGAGAGAGAGAGCGAAAACGGAAGGAGGGAGACGUUUUGCAGAUUUUUUGAGAAGAAAAAGGAGUGAA